rnacentral:rRNA from 1 species
AUGGCGGGGAAGCGGCGCUGCGGUCGGGCACCGCAUUUGGCGGUGGCAGCUAGGCGGGAGGAGCGCAAUGAGAUGAAGGAGGAGAAAAGUGGAGAGUCGGCAGGGUGGGUCAACCCAUCGGGGUCUCCCGAUCGAUCCGGAUCGAAGCUACUCAACGAGCGUGCGGGGCGGCAUGCGGCUCUCCUGCAGAGGGCGGGGGCGGACGGGCUGGGCGUGCGGAAUAACAGCGGCGGCCAGAUCCAGGUGAGCAGCAGCGGGACCUUGGAAGGCAGCGGGUUUCACCAAGGCGGCGCCAUGGUUCUCUAG